rnacentral:sRNA from 1 species
UAUAGUUUCCAAAUUUUUAGGACCACAAAGCCCAGCUCAGCUCAGCGUGCGCUGCGACUGCGAUGCGAGCUCAGCUCGGGGUCGAGAGAAUCGCGGGAGCAAAAGCAGCAGCCUCGGAUCGGAUCCAUGGUGGGUGGAUGGAUCCCUUGCUCCACUAGGGUUUCGUCCGAGCACACGCGCUAGGGUUUGCUUUGCUUCGGCAACCUGCCAGGCGCUCGCGGAUGGGUCGCCGCCGGCGGCAUGGUCGCUGAGCUGCGGUCGCCGUCGGCGGCGCCGGCGAUCCUUCUUAUUCUGCACGCGCGUGAGGAGCAGCCCGAGGAGUAAGCUGGCCCGUCGUCGCCGCGUGCUGGGAUCUGGUGCAGGUGCAGCGACCAUGCUCCUCGAUCAGGAGCAAAAGGAUUCAUGAGAUGAAAACAGGAGCAUAUACCUUUCCUUUGCCUGACUGAUGGAUCUUCCCGGCGCUUGACAACCAGAGCACCUCGCCGCUGCCGGCCGCCGCACCACCCCGCAAGCCCCUCGCCGCCGGCGUCCCGUCACAGCACCCGUGUGGCGGCGCUGCGCCGACAACAGGAGGAAGAAAUGCCUUUUUUGCCGGAGGACAGCGCAAAGAGAUGAGAACGAGUUGGUGAAACCUGUGAAGUGCAGUGGGGAUUUGGGAAUUGGGAGGGAUUAUAAAACCUAGAUCCGGGUGUGUUUUUUUGCACUUUGGUCACAAAUGCACAAAGUAUUAUUUGUAAUGGAAAUUUAGUUUUGUGAAAUAAGCAAUUUUGUACUGUGCGUUGCUGCAAAGAAUUAUGUAUGUGUUCAUAUGCUUAUUCGGUGGCAACAGUUGUAUAGCAGUUUGUUGGAAAGUUGGAUCCAUUUUGGAGGUGACGUUUGCUUCCUGUUUAGGCACGUAGCAUUUAAUUGCUACCAGUUUUGACAUGUGAACAGGUUCCUCUAUAUUUUCGUUACGAAUUUUAGUACU